rnacentral:rRNA from 1 species
UAGGGAAUAUUGGACAAUGGGCGAAAGCCUGAUCCAGCCAUGCCGCGUGAGUGAUGAAGGCCUUCGGGUCGUAAAGCUCUUUUCUGAGGGAAGAACAGCCGGGGGAGGAAAUGCCCCCGGCCUGACGGUACCUUAGGAAUAAGGGACGGCUAACUCCGUGCCAGCAGCCGCGGUAAUACGGAGGUCCCGAGCGUUGUUCGGAAUUACUGGGCGUAACGGGAGCGCAGGCGGACGGGUCAGUCUAAAGUGGAAAGCCGGGGCUUAACCUCGGACUUGCUUCGGAUACUGCCCGUCUUGAGUGCGUGAGAGGAAGAUGGAAUGC